rnacentral:rRNA from 1 species
UACGUAGGGGGCAAGCGUUGUCCGGAAUCAUUGGGCGUAAAGAGCGUGUAGGCGGCCUGGUAAGUCCGCUGUGAAAGUCCAGGGCUCAACCCUGGAAUGCCGGUGGAAACUGUCAGGCUCGAGUCCGGAAGAGGCGAGUGGAAUUCCUGGUGUAGCGGUGAAAUGCAUUGAGAUCGGAAAGAACACCAACGGCGAAAGCACUCUGCUGGGCCGACACUGACACUGAGAGACGAAAGCUAGGGGAGCAAAUGGG